CGUUGUCCGGAUUAUUGGGCGUAAAGCGCGCGCAGGCGGAUUGGUCAGUCUGUCUUAAAAGUUCGGGGCUUAACCCCGUGAUGGGAUGGAAACUGCCAAUCUAGAGUAUCGGAGAGGAAAGUGGAAUUCCUAGUGUAGCGGUGAAAUGCGUAGAUAUUAGGAAGAACACCAGUGGCGAAGGCGACUUUCUGGACGAAAACUGACGCUGAGGCGCGAAAGCCAGGGGAGCGAACGGGAUUAGAUACCCCGGUAGUCCUGGCCGUAAACGAUGGGUACUAGGUGUAGGAGGUAUCGACCCCUUCUGUGCCGGAGUUAACGCAAUAAGUACCCCGCCUGGGGAGUACGACCGCAAGGUUGAAACUCAAAGGAAUUGACGGGGGCCCGCACAAGCGGUGGAGUAUGUGGUUUAAUUC
rnacentral:rRNA from 1 species